UCGGGCGUGGUGUACGGUGCACCGCGGGUCUGUGUCAAACGUUGUCGCAGUAGCUUUAUUCCGCAGGCUGGGGUUCGAUUCCCCGCGCCCGAA